rnacentral:rRNA from 1 species
GAACGAACGCUGGCGGCAUGCCUAACACAUGCAAGUCGAACGAGACCUUCGGGUCUAGUGGCGCACGGGUGCGUAACGCGUGGGAAUCUGCCCCUUGGUUCGGAAUAACAGUUAGAGAUGACUGCUAAUACCGGAUGAUGACGAAAGUCCAAAGAUUUAUCGCCGAGGGAUGAGCCCGCGUAGGAUUAGCUAGUUGGUGAGGUAAAGGCUCACCAAGGCGACGAUCCUUAGCUGGUCUGAGAGGAUGAUCAGCCACACUGGGACUGAGACACGGCCCAGACUCCUACGGGAGGCAGCAGUGGGGAAUAUUGGACAAUGGGCGAAAGCCUGAUCCAGCAAUGCCGCGUGAGUGAUGAAGGCCUUAGGGUCGUAAAGCUCUUUACCAGGGAUGAUAAUGACAGUACCUGGAGAAUAAGCUCCGGCUAACUCCGUG